AGUAAAUUGGUUAAGUUAGAAAGGGCGCACGGUGGAUGCCUUGGCACUAGGAGCCGAAGAAGGACGGGACUAACACCGAUAUGCUUUGGG
rnacentral:rRNA from 1 species